GAGGUGAAAGUAAGAGAGGGGCUGCUAACUCUGACUCUAAGCGGUUCAACUCCGUUUGCACCUUU
rnacentral:tRNA from 1 species